AUUGUUGUAACUCUUAUUUUGUAUGGAGUAAACAACUAGCAUCACCUUCACC
rnacentral:misc_RNA from 1 species